rnacentral:rRNA from 1 species
AACGAACGCUGGCGGCAUGCCUAACACAUGCAAGUCGAACGAGACCUUCGGGUCUAGUGGCGCACGGGUGCGUAACGCGUGGGAACCUGCCCUUAGGUUCGGAAUAACUCCCCGAAAGGGGUGCUAAUACCGGAUAAUGUCUUCGGACCAAAGAUUUAUCGCCUUUGGAUGGGCCCGCGUUGGAUUAGCUAGUUGGUAGGGUAAAAGCCUACCAAGGCGACGAUCCAUAGCUGGUCUGAGAGGAUGAUCAGCCACACUGGGACUGAGACACGGCCCAGACUCCUACGGGAGGCAGCAGUGGGGAAUAUUGGAAAAUGGGCGAAAGCCUGAUACAGCAAUGCCGCGUGAGUGAUGAAGGCCUUAGGGUUGUAAAGCUCUUUUACCCGGGAUGAUAAUGGCAGUACCGGGAGAAUAAGCUCCGGCUAACUCCGUG